GGGGAAUCUUGCGCAAUGGCCGAAAGGCUGACGCAGCGACGCCGCGUGGGGGAGGAAGGGCUUCGGCUCGUAAACCCCUGUUGCCCGGGGCGAACAGCGUGUUUCGACACGCCUGACGGUACCGGGUGAGGAAGCACCGGCUAACUCCGUGCCAGCAGCCGCGGUAAUACGGAGGGUGCGAGCGUUGUCCGGAAUCACUGGGCGUAAAGGGCGCGUAGGUGGCUUUUCAAGCGCGCGGUGAAAGCCCGGGGCUCAACCCCGGGUCGGCCGUGCGGACUGGGAGGCUCGAGCACUGUAGGGGCGGGUGGAAUUCCGGGUGUAGCGGUGGAAUGCGUAGAGAUCCGGAAGAACACCGGUGGCGAAGGCGGCCCGCUGGGCAGGAAGACCUCGUAAGAGGUCGGCUGACACUGAGGCGCGACAGCGUGGGGAGCAAAC
rnacentral:rRNA from 1 species